rnacentral:rRNA from 1 species
UACGUCGGGUGCGAGCGUUAAUCGGAAUUACUGGGCGUAAAGCGUGCGCAGGCGGCUUCGCAAGUCAGACGUGAAAUCCCCGGGCUUAACCUGGGAAUGGCAUUUGGGACUGCAAGGCUGGAGUGUGGCAGAGGAGACUGGAAUUCCUGGUGUAGCGGUGAAAUGCGCAGAUAUCAGGAGGAACACCGGUGGCGAAGGCGGGUCUCUGGGCCGAUACUGACGCUGAGGAGCGAAAGCGUGGGGAGCGAACAGG